rnacentral:rRNA from 1 species
UACGGGGGGGGCAAGCGUUGUUCGGAAUUACUGGGCGUAAAGGGCUCGUAGGCGGCCAACUAAGUCGGAUGUGAAAUCCCCAGGCUUAACCUGGGAACUGCAUCCGAUACUGGAUGGCUUGAAUUCGGGAGAGGGAUGCAGAAUUCCAGGUGUAGCGGUGAAAUGCGUAGAUAUCUGGAGGAAUACCGGUGGCGAAGGCGGCCUGUUGGGCUGUUGCUGACGCUGAGGCGCGACAGCGUGGGGAGCAAACAGG